CACUGUCUCUCUUUAGGUUGCAGAGAGAGAAAGAGAGAAUGGAGCUUCCCUGUUCGACCUGAAUUUAAAAAAAAAAAAUCGAACCUUUUUUAGGGUUUCAGUCUUCUUCUUUAUCACUCUCCACAGAAAAGCUCUUUUGAGUGGGGAAAGCUGUGAAAGAUGCCAGCAAAAGCUGAAAAUGAAGAUAGGAGGUCACGGCAAAGCGCAGAGAAUGUGUUACAAUCAAGUGUAUAUGCUCAACCUUGGUGGAGGGAAGUGGGGAAUAAUGAGAAGAAUUCAAAACCAUCAUUUGGGGAACGCCCCAUAAAUGGUUCUUUUGAAAAUGGAGCUAAUGGUGGUAGAUUGGAUGAUGGGAAUACCUUGAACAAAAAAAGGCCUCCAAAUAUAGUAGCAUCAGAGUCUGGGACUGAUGGAAACAAUGGACCACCAGAAAAUCAUCUCAAAACUGUUCCAUCCUCAACCACCCUUGCAGCGGGGGAACACCUUGAUCCAAAUUCCCAAAUGGAA